rnacentral:sRNA from 12 species
GCCAAUGCUUUAUAUAAAUGAGAGAUUUGGUUAGUUAUUCCAGUCUCCAACGGUAAAGGUACAUUGCAAGGUACACUUACCGUUUACAUA